rnacentral:rRNA from 2 species
AGAGACGCUGGCGGCGUGCCUAAUACAUGCAAGUCGAACGAACUCUGGUAUUGAUUGGUGCUUGCAUCAUGAUUUACAUUUGAGUGAGUGGCGAACUGGUGAGUAACACGUGGGAAACCUGCCCAGAAGCGGGGGAUAACACCUGGAAACAGAUGCUAAUACCGCAUAACAACUUGGACCGCAUGGUCCGAGCUUGAAAGAUGGCUUCGGCUAUCACUUUUGGAUGGUCCCGCGGCGUAUUAGCUAGAUGGUGGGGUAACGGCUCACCAUGGCAAUGAUACGUAGCCGACCUGAGAGGGUAAUCGGCCACAUUGGGACUGAGACACGGCCCAAACUCCUACGGGAGGCAGCAGUAGGGAAUCUUCCACAAUGGACGAAAGUCUGAUGGAGCAACGCCGCGUGAGUGAAGAAGGGUUUCGGCUCGUAAAACUCUGUUGUUAAAGAAGAACAUAUCUGAGAGUAACUGUUCAGGUAUUGACGGUAUUUAACCAGAAAGCCACGGCUAACUACGUGCCAGCAGCCGCGGUAAUACGUAGGUGGCAAGCGUUGUCCGGAUUUAUUGGGCGUAAAGCGAGCGCAGGCGGUUUUUUAAGUCUGAUGUGAAAGCCUUUCGGCUCAACCGAAGAAGUGCAUCGGAAACUGGGAAACUUGAGUGCAGAAGAGGACAGUGGAACUCCAUGUGUAGCGGUGAAAUGCGUAGAUAUAUGGAAGAACACCAGUGGCGAAAGGCGGCUGUCUGGUCUGUAACUGACGCUGAGGCUCGAAAGUAUGGGUAGCAAACAGGAUUAGAUACCCUGGUAGUCCAUACCGUAAACGAUGAAUGCUAAGUGUUGGAGGGUUUCCGCCCUUCAGUGCUGCAGCUAACGCAUUAAGCAUUCCGCCUGGGGAGUACGGGCCGCAAGGCUGAAACUCAAAGGAAUUGACGGGGGCCCGCACAAGCGGUGGAGCAUGUGGUUUAAUUCGAAGCUACGCGAAGAACCUUACCAGGUCUUGACAUACUAUGCAAAUCUAAGAGAUUAGACGUUCCCUUCGGGGACAUGGAUACAGGUGGUGCAUGGUUGUCGUCAGCUCGUGUCGUGAGAUGUUGGGUUAAGUCCCGCAACGAGCGCAACCCUUAUUAUCAGUUGCCAGCAUUAAGUUGGGCACUCUGGUGAGACUGCCGGUGACAAACCGGAGGAAGGUGGGGAUGACGUCAAAUCAUCAUGCCCCUUAUGACCUGGGCUACACACGUGCUACAAUGGAUGGUACAACGAGUUGCGAACUCGCGAGAGUAAGCUAAUCUCUUAAAGCCAUUCUCAGUUCGGAUUGUAGGCUGCAACUCGCCUACAUGAAGUCGGAAUCGCUAGUAAUCGCGGAUCAGCAUGCCGCGGUGAAUACGUUCCCGGGCCUUGUACACACCGCCCGUCACACCAUGAGAGUUUGUAACACCCAAAGUCGGUGGGGUAACCUUUUAGGAACCAGCCGCCUAAGGUGGGACAGAUGAUUAGGGGAAGUCG